rnacentral:rRNA from 1 species
UACGGAGGGUGCAAGCGUUAUCCGGAUUCACUGGGUUUAAAGGGUGCGUAGGUGGGUUGGUAAGUCAGUGGUGAAAUCUCCGGGCUUAACCUGGAAACUGCCAUUGAUACUAUCAAUCUUGAAUACCUUGGAGGUGAGCGGAAUAUGUCAUGUAGCGGUGAAAUGCUUAGAUAUGACAUAGAACACCAAAGGCGAAGGCAGCAUCCUGGGAAGUUCCUGACGCUCGGGUGCGAAAGCCAGGGGAGCGAACGGG